ACAGGUGACUAGGGGCGAAGGAGCCAGUGCUUCAGACCUCAGAGGCCUCUCUGACUAGGGGGAGAGGUACCAGGGGCUUCUGGGGCCUUAGCUCCUAGUCCUGGA
rnacentral:miRNA from 1 species